rnacentral:rRNA from 1 species
AUACCCUGGUAGUNCACGCCCGUAAACGAUGAGUACUAGGUGUCGGGGGUCGAAUNUCGGGUGCCGCAGUCAACACAUUAAGUAUUCCCGCCUGGGGAGUACGGUCGCAAGACUGAAACUCAAAGGAAUUGACGGGGACCCGCACAAGCAGCGGAGCAUGUGGUUUAAUUCGAAGCAACGCGAAGAACCUUACCAAAUCUUGACAUCCUUUUGACCAUCAUUUAAUCAUGAUCUCUCUUCGGAGCAGAAGUGACAGGUGGUGCAUGGUUGUCGUCAGCUCGUGUCGUGAGAUGUUGGGUUAAGUCCCGCAACGAGCGCAACCCUUGUCUUUAGUUGUCAUCAGGUAAUGCUGGACCCUCUAAAGAGACUGCCGGUGAUAAACCGGAGGAAGGUGGGGAUGACGUCAAAUCAUCAUGCCCCUUAUGAUUUGGGCUACACACGUGCUACAAUGGUCGGUACAACAGGCAGCGAAAGGGUAACCUGGAGCGAAUCCUCUAAAGCCGAUCUCAGUUCGGAUUGUGGGCUGCAACUUGCCCACAUGAAGUUGGAGUUGCUAGUAAUCGUGAAUCAGAAUGUCGCGGUGAAUGCAUUCCCGGGUCUUGUACACACCGCCCGUCACACCAUGGAAGUUGGGGGCGCCCGAAGCCAGUGAUCCAACCGCAAGGAGGAAGCUGUCGAAGGUGAAACCAAUGACUAGGGUGAAGUCGUAACAAGGUAACCG